CUUGGGGUUAAGCUUGUAGAAAGCCCAUGUCAACAGAGGGAAACACUGUGACCACCUGUGUACUUUGGCUGUGAUCAUGUGUACACAACAAGUGCAUACAAAGGCCUGGGAAAAGCACAGGAAAGCAGAAGUCAAGGCACAGCACUCACUUAAGAUGUGUAGCCAGAGCUCAAGGGCCCUAAGCCAUCAAGAGGCCCCUAUUACUGGGAGAAUGAGCAUCCUUUUCUGUUGGCAAAACAGGAUCCAGCUGAUUUUGGCUGAGCCCCUUCACGCAUCUGUGGUUCAAAUGGUCUAUUCACAUAUCUAAAUGUUGGCACUGCUCCAUGGUUCACCCAUUCUUUUUCUGGUACGAACAGGAAAACCCAG